rnacentral:rRNA from 1 species
CUACGGGAGGCUGCAGUGGGGAAUAUUGGACAAUGGGGGAAACCCUGAUCCAGCAAUGCCGCGUGUGUGAAGAAGGCCUGCGGGUUGUAAAGCACUUUCGGUUGGGAGGACUGCUUCUAGCACUAAUAUUGUUGGAAGUUGACGUUACCUUCAGAAGAAGCACCGGCUAACUCCGUGCCAGCAGCCGCGGGUAAUACGGAGGGUGCAAGCGUUAAUCGGAAUUACUGGGCGUAAAGCGCGCGUAGGCGGCUAGAUCAGUCGGGUGUGAAAGCCCCGGGCUUAACCUGGGAACUGCAUCCGAUACUGUCUAGCUUGAGUACAGGAGAGGAGAGUGGAAUUCCACAUGUAGCGGUGAAAUGCGUAGAUAUGUGGAGGAACACCAAUAGCGAAGGCAGCUCUCUGGCCUGAUACUGACGCUGAGGUGCGAAAGCGCGGGGAGCAAACAGGAUUAGAUACCCUCGUAGUC